GGCCAGGGUAGUCCUUGUGAGGAGUCACAGGACUGUUUGAGUUGAGCACGAUUUGGAUGAUCUGAUCAGGGUUGACAGUUUAACCCUGAGUCAUCCUAAACACAGGAGUCAAAAGGAUGAAUUAUAUAGUAACCAUAUUCAUAUAGGUUCUGAGUGUUGCGAUUGCGACUCUUCGACCUAUCCGGACAUCGGGUACCAUUGCUAGAUGGUCACUUCGAUUAGUACAGAAAUUGGUUCCUAUGCUACCGGCUUAGGUUCGAACCUGUGGGGUCACACACAUUAGAGGUUCCUAUCUGAUCUGAUGGCUGAUGUAGAAUCCUACAUAUUUGAGACUCAGUGAUCGAGAAUUAGGAUUCUCUGAUCAUGAGUUCCACACAUUAUGGGUACCAGGGUCAAGAGUCCCACUGGUUGGGAGUUUUUGAUCAGAUUUACAUAUUGAUGAAUUCUGAUGCCUGAUUGCCCAUCGGAUUUGGAUUCAGUAUUUAUGAGAGGUUUAAUUAGUGAUUUGAUCACUAAUUAACUCAAUUUGAUUGAGUAAUUAUUUUUGGAUC
rnacentral:lncRNA from 1 species